AUACAUGCAGGUCGAACGAACUCUGGUAUUGAUUGGUGCUUGCAUCAUGAUUUACAUUUGAGUGAGUGGCGAACUGGUGAGUAACACGUGGGAAACCUGCCCAGAAGCGGGGGAUAACACCUGGAAACAGAUGCUAAUACCGCAUAACAACUUGGACCGCAUGGUCCGAGUUUGAAAGAUGGCUUCGGCUAUCACUUUUGGAUGGUCCCGCGGCGUAUUAGCUAGAUGGUGGGGUAACGGCUCACCAUGGCAAUGAUACGUAGCCGACCUGAGAGGGUAAUCGGCCACAUUGGGACUGAGACACGGCCCAAACUCCUACGGGAGGCAGCAGUAGGGAAUCUUCCACAAUGGACGAAAGUCUGAUGGAGCAACGCCGCGUGAGUGAAGAAGGGUUUCGGCUCGUAAAACUCUGUUGUUAAAGAAGAACAUAUCUGAGAGUAACUGUUCAGGUAUUGACGGUAUUUAACCAGAAAGCCACGGCUAACUACGUGCCAGCAGCCGCGGUAAUACGUAGGUGGCAAGCGUUGUCCGGAUUUAUUGGGCGUAAAGCGAGCGCAGGCGGUUUUUUAAGUCUGAUGUGAAAGCCUUCGGCUCAACCGAAGAAGUGCAUCGGAAACUGGGAAACUUGAGUGCAGAAGAGGACAGUGGAACUCCAUGUGUAGCGGUGAAAUGCGUAGAUAUAUGGAAGAACACCAGUGGCGAAGGCGGCUGUCUGGUCUGUAACUGACGCUGAGGCUCGAAAGUAUGGGUAGCAAACAGGAUUAGAUACCCUGGUAGUCCAUACCGUAAACGAUGAAUGCUAAGUGUUGGAGGGUUUCCGCCCUUCAGUGCUGCAGCUAACGCAUUAAGCAUUCCGCCUGGGGAGUACGGCCGCAAGGCUGAAACUCAAAGGAAUUGACGGGGGCCCGCACAAGCGGUGGAGCAUGUGGUUUAAUUCGAAGCUACGCGAAGAACCUUACCAGGUCUUGACAUACUAUGCAAAUCUAAGAGAUUAGACGUUCCCUUCGGGGACAUGGAUACAGGUGGUGCAUGGUUGUCGUCAGCUCGUGUCGUGAGAUGUUGGGUUAAGUCCCGCAACGAGCGCAACCCUUAUUAUCAGUUGCCAGCAUUAAGUUGGGCACUCUGGUGAGACUGCCGGUGACAAACCGGAGGAAGGUGGGGAUGACGUCAAAUCAUCAUGCCCCUUAUGACCUGGGCUACACACGUGCUACAAUGGAUGGUACAACGAGUUGCGAACUCGCGAGAGUAAGCUAAUCUCUUAAAGCCAUUCUCAGUUCGGAUUGUAGGCUGCAACUCGCCUACAUGAAGUCGGAAUCGCUAGUAAUCGCGGAUCAGCAUGCCGCGGUGAAUACGUUCCCGGGCCUUGUACACACCGCCCGUCACACCAUGAGAGUUUGUAACACCCAAAGUCGGUGGGGUAACCUUUUAGGAACCAGC
rnacentral:rRNA from 1 species